rnacentral:rRNA from 1 species
CUAUCUUGAAAUAAAUCAAAUAUUUUAGUACGAAAGGACCAAAUAUUUAUAAUAUUUAUUAAAUUUUGAAUCACUAUCUUGAAAUAAAUCAAAUAUUUUAGUACGAAAGGACCAAAUAUUUAUAAUAUUUAUUAAAUUUUGAAUCAAAUUGUUAUUUUGGCAGAAUAGUGUAUUAAAUUUAGAAUUUAAAAAUGUAUUUACAUACAAAUA